AGAGUGCCAUUCCGGUUCGCUGCUCUUCCAGCUCAGUUUACUGCUUCGCCAAUUGUUUUACUAGCCUAGUCAUUCAGCGCCAGCUUCCAUCGCAUGGAUUGAAACCACGCCAACCAGUCAAAAAAAGAGUUGUCCAGGAAUUUCUGUGGGUUCCCGAUCUUUUGUCGAACCGAAAGUGAGAUCGACCAAAGCCUCUCCCUGCGCAAAAAUGCUACAUUGUUUGGAGAAAAUCCGGACUAAACAGGUGCCCUGUUCCACUUUUGUUUUUAAUUUAUGUGAAAGUAGCUCCGGAAAUAUGACACUCGUAUAUUUUCUUCUUUUGAAGUGGUAUGAUCUAUUCUAAUAUCUGAAUCUAUUGAUGAUGGAGAAACUCUACCGUCAACAAAAUCUCGGGGAAAAGUGUAAGAUUUUAUUUAUUCUAAUGUUCUUUUGUGCUUAUCAGGGUGGUUACGUAAUACUUUAGAAUGAUGCAGUACUAGCCGCUCUUUCUUUGUUUUGAUAAAAACGAAACAAUAAGAAUAGCGACACCAACAUCACAAGAAUAAUGUAAAAGAAGAAACUUAUAAUUUUGGAGGUAAAAAUUAACAGCAAGAGCAAAGAAUAAAUGUAUUGUUUCUAUGUUAAAUAUCGUUAGACCGAAAUUAUAGUUUUAUUAACUAAAUUACUUAAACGUUAAUACAAUUUUCUAAUUUAUAGAUAUAGAAAGGCCAAAUUACACAAUUUCUAAAGCCUGCAAAAAGGAAGACUAUAGAAAA